UGCGCAUUGUAUCGUCGUCGCCACGUAUUUCGUUAUUAACUGCUAUUUUUACGGCGGAGGAAGGGUAGCUUUAGUCCGGAAACUGCUCUCUAAACAUCAUCAGCAUUAUGACGUUUACUAUAAUAUAGAUUGAACCGAAAGUACAUAACAUUCGGCAGCAAUGGCUAGUCAGGAUCAAGUACCACCGGCCAAUGGUGAAGGCGGAGAGGCUAAAUCAACCCCUGGUAAAACUGGAAAGUUGGAUAGUUUAGCCAAGGAUGACCUAAUUAAGUAUGUGAAGAAACAAGCAAUGCAGAUGCAGAAGCUGAAGGCCCAGUUUGAAAAGCUUACCAAGGAGGCAAAUGAGAUGAGUAAUCAGCAGAGUCCAUCAGGUGACGCUGAAUGCAGUGCUAAGAUGGUAGAGCUUGAAGCUAGAGCUAAGACAGCUGAGGAAGAGUUGGCUGAGUUGAAGGAGGAACGAGAAGGAAUGCUCACAACUUAUAACACUAUACAACAACAACAGGAGCAGAAUCUAGAAACACACAAGGCACUUGAGGAGGCACUUGAAAAGUCAGGAGAGGAGAAAGAACAUCUGCAAGGAGAAGUCACUCGUUGGCAAGAAGAUCUAAGCAAGGCCAACUUAAAAAACAAGGAGCUGUCUGAACAACUUGAGUGCAUGCAAAUGAAACAAGAAACAAUGACUUCUACCUUUCAAUGUAUGCAAGAAGACCAAAACAAGAUGACAAAAGAAAAUGAGGUAUUGAAAGACCAGAUUGUGUUGUUGACGGCUGCAAGAGACCAAGUAAUGGAGUCACUGCAAACAUUCAAGCAACAAACACGGGAGAAGGCAAACAGUGCAAAUGAACUAGAGAGCUCACUUACUGUGCUGACAUCGGAGAGGGAAGCUCUUACCGGACAACUCCAAACUCUGCAGAAAACUGAAGCAGACGCUAGGGCCGAGUUGGAAGAUCUCAAGAUUCACCUUCAAGCUGCAGAGGAAGAAAUGAAGGUCUCUGAGAAACUGGAGACUGAAAGGGAUGCUCUUUUAGGACAACUCCAAACUCUGCAGAAAACUGAAGCAGACACUAGAGCCGAGUUGGAAGAUCUCAAGAUUCACCUGCAAGGUGCAGAGGACGAAAACAAGGUCGCUGAGAAACUGGAGGCUGAGAGGAGGAUAGAGGAAGAAGAUACUAAAGCAAGACUUGAAGAAGAAAUCCAAAGACUGCAAGGUCUACAUGAGGAGGAUCUGAAAUUGAAGGAUGAGCUUCUGGUUGCCAACAGGGAGCUUGAGAAGGCUAAGGAUCAAGAGGUUGAGACUCGGAAAGACAGAGACAACCUCGCCAACAAAGUCACAAAGCUGAGUCAGACACUUCAGUUGAAAGAAAAUGAGUUAGAAGGUAAUGUGCAAUCCCAAAGUGAGUUCCAUAACCAGAUGCUAGAGAGAGAAGACAAGCUGAAGUCUGCUGUUGGCGAUAAACAGGAAUCCGAUAAAGUUAUUCAAGAGCUUCGCUCACAGCUUGAAGAGUUGUCUUCUGAGUUAAAAUCUGCGAAUCAGUUUGUGAAAUCAUCUGAGCAGGACAUUGAGAAUAGCAAGGCCACAGAAGCACAACUGAUGGAAGAGGUUCAGUCCCUUAUAUGUGAAUUAAAAGAAGCUCUUGGGUCACAGAGUGAGCUCAAAAUCCAGGUUGAUCAGUUGACAAAUGAGAAACUACAACUUGCAGGAGAGAUUGAAAACAUAAAGAUGACAAGAGAUCAGGCUGUUAGUGAUCUCGAAGAGAAGGCAGAGAAGGAUGAAAUUGUUACUAAGCUUCAAGACCAACUGGAGAUUGUGAUUGCUGAGAAGGAGCUCCUUGCGAAAGAAAUUGCCGCCUUGAGGCAGGUUCAAGACAGUAUUGGGGAGCUUAAUAUAGCAUUAGAGGCAUUACAAGAAGAGAAAACAAAGAUGGUUAGUGAAAGUUCAGACAAGGAGUCAGUCAUCUCCGCUCUUUCAAAUGAUAUUUACAGUCUGAAGAAAGAGAGAGAUGAUCUUGUAACAAGGGAAGAAGACUUACAAUGUGAAUUGAAAACAUUAAAACAGAACAACGGAGGUAAAGAAGAGCAGAUGCAAGAAAAACUUACUGCAACUGAAGAAGAGGUGGUGUCGUUGAAGGAGCAACUGUGCACGGCAACAGAGGAUUAUCAGAAGACUUUGCAAGCUGCUGAAGUUGAACGAGAUAGGGCGAGAGAGGAGACUUUGGUCUUAAAAACUGACCAAUCAAGCUCCAGCAACGAGCUGCAAGAACGGCUGAAACAUCUUCAAUCUGAAAGAGAUAACUUAAUAGAUGUGAAACAGGAGCUUGGCUUGCAGGUUAAUAGAUUGACUGAGGAGUUGAAAUGUGCCCAGGAAGACCUGGAGGUCUCCGAUGUCCUUGUCCAGAAACAGAAGCAAGAUUUGGAUAGAGAGUCUCAACUUAAAGAAGAACUGUUUUCCCAGCGACAGAUUAACGAGGAACUGCAGAAUGAGUUGGGUGCUAUUAGAGAAGCUCAUGUUGAAGCUAUGAACCAAAGCUCACAUGUUGAAUCUCAGUUGAAGGUCCUUAAAGAGUCACAAGAAACAGACGAGGAAGCUUCUGAAAGGCAAACAGAAAAGUCACAGAAGAGUCUUGAAGAAAAACUUCGACAAUUGUCAACAGAGAAAAAUGAGAUUGAACAGGCGCUUGUCAACCUCAGAAAUGAAAAGGAAUCUAUUGAAAAAGAUCUGACCUUGUCUGUUGAAAAUUUCACUCUUGAAAAGGAAGAGCUAAUUGCUAACUUGAAGGGUCAAGAAGCUCAGUUUCAAAAUAAAUUGGAGAAGAUGUCAGAUUCUAUUCGGGCUCAUGAAAGAGACAGACUCAACGCUGAAGAAGAUUUAGAAAACUUGAAGAAGACCAAUGAUAGCUACAACGCUGAGCUAACUGAAGCCCUGAAGAUGAUUACAAAUGAUAAAGAACAUCUCCAAUCUAAAUUGGAUUUGCUGAAUGAGCAGUUGAUGACUGCUGAGGCUGACAAAUCCAAAAUGGUUUCAGAACUUCACAGCAAGGAUUCAGAUCUGCAAAAGGUCCGACAAGAGAUAGAAGAUAGACAAGCUGAAGUCGAUGAAGCUGCUGAAAACCUGAAAAUGUUGCAACAAGAGAAGGAAGAGAUGGUCACAAAGAUUGAAUCUCUUCAGACCCAAUCAACCCCUACUCAACCGGCAGAGGAACUUGGCAAUAGGCAAGCAUUAGAGUCACAGAUCGAAAGUCUUGAAGCCAAGAUUAAGACCCUUGAAGUUGACAAACAGACCUUUAAAGCCAACUUUGAGAAACUGAAGAAGGCAAGCCAAACUAAACUCCAACGUCUUCAGGAACAGAUGGAAGCUGUCAAGGAGGAGAGAACCACUCUUUCAGUGAAACUUGACAAUGUGGUUAUUAGUGAGAAGAGCUUACAAGAACAGGUGCAUGAAUUGAAUGCACUCAUAGGUUCCCUGAAGAAUGAUAAAGCAGAUUUUGAAUCAGUUAAAGAGAAUCUUGAAUCCUCUCUGGAGGAGGUGACUGAAGAGAAGAAGUCUCUAUUUGCUGAUCUACAAGCGGUACUGGCCCAGCAAACUUCAAGUGAUGAUCGAAACCAAGAUUUAAUCAAGAGGCUUCAAGAGUCUGAGGUUUCUAAGCAGAAUCUGAUGAGCAAACUUCAGGAGGUCCAAGAUGAGGUUGUCAGGAAGGAGGAGGAAGUUAACAGAUUGGCAGGAGACUUGGAGAAAGCUCUGAUGGUCAAGAAGACACCUGAGGAGGAAACGGACAAAGAGAAAGAAGCCAUACAACACACGGCAUCUGAAGAUACUUCUCUUCAACAGCUCUUGGACGAGAAGAAGAAGCAGUUGAAAGAGACAGAAGAGAAAGCUCAGAAACUAAGAUCCUUAGCCAUGAAGGUCAAGAAAGAACUGGAACAAGCCAAGAAGCAGAUAGCUGCCCAGACAGAAGAACUAAAUGUUGUCAAAUCAGAGAAGGAUGAACUGAUGAAGAAGACGGAUUCCAUGAACCAACAGCUGACUGGGAGUAGACAACACAUCGAGAAUUAUCAGAGCCUUCAACUAGAGUAUGAGAAGCUACAAGAUUUUCUGGAUGCUGAAAAAGAAUUGUCACAUGAACUACAGAAAAAAAUGACCAAAAUGCUGGAGGAUUUCAAAAAUCUAUCUAGGGAGUGUUCCCAGACCAAAGUUGCUAAAGAGGAGCUAGCUAGGUCAUGUGACCAUGCUGUAAAGGAGAUCCAUACGUUGGAGUGCAGUGUAGCUGAACUUAAGAGUCAUCUCUCGGCCACUGAAGAAGAACGAGAUGCCGAGAGAGGAGAGAAAGAGAAAAAGAUAAAGGAGCUCUCCCAGGCUGUUGGAAAGAUAAAAGAGUUUGAACUGGACGUUGGAAAGCACAAAGUAAAUUUUGACACAACAACCAAGCAGCUACAGGCUGCAUUAAAGGAAGCUAGUCAGAGUAGCCUGAUGGAUCUUGAGAUAGCAGACUAUGAGAAGACUGUAUCCAACCUCAAUCACAUCAUCCAAGAAAAAGAUGGCAAGAUGAUGGAGUUUCAAACUGAAAUAGAGAGACUGCAGAAGAGAAAUGAAUCCAUGCUGAAAGAAAUAGAUGCUUGUGAUGCUCAACGGGUACAGGCUGAUGAAAGGGGAAACAAGCUCAAGGCUCUACUCAUGAAGAGCAAGAAAGACUUAGCAGACGCCAAGAAGAUUGAAUCUGACCAGCGUAGUAAUGAAGCAGCUCUUCAAGGUCAGUUAGAGAGUCUUAAUCAACAAGCAGAGGCUCUUAAAGUAGAUUUGUCGUUCUUAUCCGCUGAGAAUCAGAAGCUCAAUGGUCAGUUGCAUGCUUCUAACGAUGCCAACUUGCGGACGGUCAGAGUCUUGGAGCAGAAGAAUCAAACUCUCAAAGAAGAUCUGGAAUUAGUUCAUCAAGAAAUGACUCAAACUAAGGAUGAAUUUGAAAACUAUAAGGUGAGAGUUCACAGUGUAUUGAAACAGCAGAAGACUAGAGAAAGUUCUCAUGUAGUCAUGGAAACAGAGAUGCAAGAAAAAGAUCAUUUGGAGAAAGUUAAUAAGCAGCUCAAGACAAAGCUUCAAGAAGUCAGGGAUGAGUUAAAGACGUCAUCCACAGAGCUAGAACUUUUACAGGAUGAACAUGACCGCCAGCUGCAGCGACACAGCGACAUGGUGCAAGAUGCUCAAAACAAGGAAUCUAUGUGGCGAGAAAAGAUGAACAAGCUCCGUAUAGAGAGUGAAUCGGGUAAUAUUCAGCAUCAUGAUGCCAUUAGGGAACUCACUGCACAGAACGAAGCACUCACAAACGCCUUUAAGACACAGAUGCAUCAACUCCAAGAUGAACAUCACCGUACUGUUGCAUCACUACAACAGCAACUAGACAUGAUGGAGAACCAAGUCUAUCGCAUACAGAAUGAACAGCAGCAGGCAUUCCAGCAGCAACGUAGCCAGGGACUGGCCAGGACUGGGAUGGAUCUUAAAGAAGGCAUACAGGAUGCAGCACUUGCUAGACCCACCCUAGAGGAGAGGGAACAAGGAGAGGGUAUGGAGAACACAGAUGGUGAAUCGAGUGCAGCCAAACAGCGUAUCUCCUCUACUACUAGCAAUGUUCCUAUGAUACCACUAUCUCAACUACUCAGUGAGUCCUCCAUUGAUUCAUCAGCACUCAGUGUAGUCAGUCUGGCAGGCUCCACCGCUGAAGAGGAACAUCUUAAAGCAGAGUUGACCUCCACGAGGAAGAAACUAGAACAUUUCAAUGAGAUAAUGAGUGAUAAUGAAGCGACUAUCAUGCGUCUGACCGAACAAGCUAAAGUCUUGAAAGAGGAAAUCAGAAGACUGGAAAGAAAUCAACAAAGAGAGAAUGCAAUCUCCAACAUGGAGUACCUUAAGAAUGUAGUCAUGAAGUUCUUAGUUCCUGCUAAGCCAGGUGAGAGGCAACACUUGGUUCCUGUUCUAACUACCAUGCUACAAUUGAGUGACAAAGAGAGAGAGGAAAUGUUUGCUGUUAUAGCAGAAGAAGACGGGGAAGUGACUGAAAAGGAGACCAACAAAUGGGGUUCCUAUUUACAUCGCUGGUCAGGAGGCAUAGUGUAAUGGAUAACAAGCCAAGGAGUGUUUUGGAAAGAGACCACACAAUGGGGUUCCUAUUUACAUCGCUAGUCAGGAGGCAUAGUGUAAUGGAUAACAUGCCGAGGAGUGUCUUGAAAAGAGACCACACAAUGGGGUUCCUAUUUACAUCGCUAGUCAGGAGGCAUAGUGUAAUGGAUAACAUGCCAAGGAGCGCCUUGAAAAGAGACCACACAAUGGGGUUCCUAUUUACAUCGCUAGUCAGGAGGCAUAGUGUAAUGGAUAACAUGCCAAGGAGCGCCUUGAAAAGAGACCACACAAUGGGGUUCCUAUUUACAUCGCUAGUCAGGAGGCAUAGUGUAAUGGAUAACAAGCCAAGGAGUGUCUUGAAAAGAUACCACACAAUGGGGUUCCUAUUUACAUCGCUAGUCAGGAGGCAUAGUGUAAUGGAUAACAAGCCAAGGAGUGUCUUGAAAAGAGACCACACAAUGGGGUUCCUAUUUACAUCGCUAGUCAGGAGGUAUAGUGUAAUGGAUAACAAGCCAAGGAGUGUCUUGAAAAGAGACCACACAAUGGGGUUCCUAUUUACAUCGCUAGUCAGGAGGCAUAGUGUAAUGGAUAACAAGCCAAGGAGUGUCUUGAAAAGAGACCACACAAUGGGGUUCCUAUUUACAUCGCUAGUCAGGAGGUAUAGUGUAAUGGGUAACAAGCCAAGGAGUGUCUUGAAAAGAGACCACACAAUGGGGUUCCUAUUUACAUCGCUAGUCAGGAGGUAUAGUGUAAUGGAUAACAAGCCAAGGAGUGUCUUGAAAAGAGACCACACAAUGGGGUUCCUAUUUACAUCGCUGGUCAGGAGGCAUAGUGUAAUGGAUAACAAGCCAAGGAGUGUCUUGAAAAGAGACCACACAAUGGGGUUCCUAUUAACAUCGCUAGUCAGGAGGCAUAGUGUAAUGGAUAACAAGCCAAGGAGUGUCUUGAAAAGAGACCACACAAUGGGGUUCCUAUUUACAUCGCUGGUCAGGAGGCAUAGUUUAAUGGAUAACAAGCCAAGGAGUGUCUUGAAAAGAGACCACACAAUGGGGUUCCUCUUUACAUCGCUAGUCAGGAGGUAUAGUGUAAUGGAUAACAAGCCAAGGAGUGUCUUGAAAAGAGACCACACAAUGGGGUUCCUAUUUACAUCGCUAGUCAGGAGGCAUAGUUUAAUGGAUAACAAGCCAAGGAGCGCCUUGAAAAGAGACCACACAAUGGGGUUCCUAUUUACAUCGCUAGUCAGGAGGUAUAGUGUAAUGGGUAACAAGCCAAGGAGUGUCUUGAAAAGAGACCACACAAUGGGGUUCCUAUUUACAUCGCUAGUCAGGAGGCAUAGUGUAAUGGAUAACAUGCCGAGGAGUGUCUUGAAAAGAGACCACACAAUGGGGUUCCUAUUUACAUCGCUAGUCAGGAGGCAUAGUUUGAUGGAUAACAUGCCAAGGAGUGUCUUGAAAAGAGACCACACAAUGGGGUUCCUAUUUACAUCGCUAGUCAGGAGGUAUAGUUUAAUGGAUAACAUGCCGAGGAGUGUCUUGAAAAGAGACCACACAAUGGGGUUCCUAUUUACAUCGCUAGUCAGGAGGCAUAGUGUAAUGGAUAACAAGCAAAGGAGUGUCUUGAAAAGAGACCACACAAUGGGGUUCCUAUUUACAUCGCUAGUCAGGAGGUAUAGUGUAAUGGAUAACAAGCCAAGGAGCGCCUUGAAAAGAGACCACACAAUGGGGUUCCUAUUUACAUCGCUUGUCAGGAGGUAUAGUGUAAUGGACAGCAAGCCAAGGAGUGUCUUGAAAAGAGACUGCACAAUGGGGUUCCUAUUUACAUCGCUAGUCAGGAGGCAUAGUUUAAUGGAUAACAUGCCAAGGAGUGUCUUGAAAAGAGACCACACAAUGGGGUUCCUAUUUACAUCGCUAGUCAGGAGGUAUAGUGUAAUGGAUAACAAGCCAAGGAGCGCCUUGAAAAGAGACCACACAAUGGGGUUCCUAUUUACAUCGCUAGUCAGGAGGUAUAGUGUAAUGGAUAACAAGCCAAGGAGUGUCUUGAAAAGAGACCACACAAUGGGGUUCCUAUUUACAUCGCUAGUCAGGAGGUAUAGUUUAAUGGAUAACAUGCCAAGGAGUGUCUUGAAAAGAGACCACACAAUGAGGUUCCUAUUUACAUCGCUAGUCAGGAGGUAUAGUUUAAUGGAUAACAUGCCAAGGAGUGUCUUGAAAAGAGACCACACAAUGGGGUUCCUAUUUACAUCGCUAGUCAGGAGGUAUAGUUUAAUGGACAGCAAGCCAAGGAGUGUCUUGAAAAGAGACCACACAAUGGGGUUCCUAUUUACAUCGCUAGUCAGGAGGUAUAGUUUAAUGGAUAACAUGCCAAGGAGUGUCUUGAAAAGAGACCACACAAUGGGGUUCCUAUUUACAUCGCUAGUCAGGAGGUAUAGUUUAAUGGACAGCAAGCCAAGGAGCGCCUUGAAAA